GGCAUUGUCCCCACUCAGAAAUGCUCCAAAAGAACUAAGGAGAAGGAUUAGAGGAGACAAAAUGUUUUUGCUAAAUUCUUGCACUGAAGCCAGAGUUGCUCAGGAAAUAACAGCUCAGUUUGUUAGCUCUGAUCUCUAAUUCCAUCCCAAAUUCAUAACGUUAUUUUUUUUGUUUGUUUCCAUUGUUCAUUUGUUGUGUGCCUCUUAGGAUGUCCCUUUCCAUCUGGGCCUCAAUGACCUUCCCUGGGAAAUGGGGUACUUGUACUUAACCAUACCCCUGCUUCUAAAGACAAACUGGGAAAAUUAAAUGGAAAUUCUAAAAGAAAGCUUCAUCUUUUAGUUCCUUAGAGAACUAGCAUUACAGUUGAUUACCUAGGUGAUGAUUCAAGCUAUUCAACCCUUGUCAUUCUGAAUGUACUUCUCUUCCAGCUUGCCUUGGAAAGAAAAUCAGCCAGUUAAAGAAAGCAUCAGCUGGAACUCUCUCAGCUCUCAGUGACUGCAGAGUGAACUAUGGCAUUCAGCAUAGAAAAUGUUCUUCCAGUGCUCCAAUAAAUAGCAUUCAGUUUUUAGCCCCAGGGAAUUCAGUGUAGCCCUGGUUACUCCUCACUGCCACAGCCAACACUGCUUCCUUGGGUAGGAGAAAUGAUUUAUGGAGGUGAGCAGCCAUUCCAAACUUUAAUUAAGCACGUAAAGAACCAUCAAUUUUUUAAAGGGCACCAACCCAGAAAGAUGAGAGCUGAACUCCUGUAGAACAUAAUUACCUUUCCAACAUUUUAUCUGAUCUCCUUGUUUUACUUCUCUAAGAUGAGCUGAACAACAGCCAAUCAACCACCCCCACAGGCCACCCUUGGACCAUGACAUACAGGGCAUCUGACUGAUAGUCCCACCAAGACUGCCUAUGAUCAUUUUACUCCUGCAGAGAAAGAUGUGCCUAAAAGAGAAGCAGCACCUACCUGGAAGACUCAGGAGACAAAGAGGGAAAGAGUGGGACACAGUGGAUUAUGCUCACCCUGAGGGUUAUCUGAGAAGAUUUCUGAGAACCUGAGAGUCUCAAAUGCCUGAGAGGUGGGAGCUGCAUAGAGAGGAACAGAAAUGAAUCCCCAAGAUUUCCUGGGCUGAGCCUAACAGGAUAUGAGAAGCAGAAACUUCUGGAUUGUGAGAAGAAACAAAGGAAGAAGAGAGAUGCUCUAUAGGAGAAAAAUCACAGACAAUAAGUGGGGAGAGCAAGAAGACAAAGUUUUGUUACUUUAAUUCACCACUCCUAUCCCCAGCCACCAGUGGCCAUCCUGUACUGGAUUCUAAACCCAGGGCCCUAA
rnacentral:lncRNA from 1 species